AACGAACGCUGGCGGCAUGCCUAACACAUGCAAGUCGAACGAGAUCUUCGGGUCUAGUGGCGCACGGGUGCGUAACGCGUGGGAAUCUGCCCUUUGGUUCGGAAUAACAGUUGGAAACGACUGCUAAUACCGGAUGAUGACGAAAGUCCAAAGAUUUAUCGCCAGGGGAUGAGCCCGCGUAGGAUUAGCUAGUUGGUGUGGUAAAGGCGCACCAAGGCGACGAUCCUUAGCUGGUCUGAGAGGAUGAGCAGCCACACUGGGACUGAGACACGGCCCAGACUCCGACGGGAGGAAGCAGUGGGGAAUAUUGACAAUGGGCGAAAGCCUGAUCCAGCAAUGCCGCGUGAGUGAUGAAGGCCUUAGGGUUGUAAAGCUCCUUUACCCGGGAUGAUAAUGACAGUACCGGGAGAAUAAGCUCCGGCUAACUCCGUGCCAGCCGCCGCGGUAA
rnacentral:rRNA from 1 species